CGGUGUUUAACUGGCGUGAUGUGGGACGUCCUACCGGUGGGCUUAGCCUCGCGAGGGGCGGCCCAACUAAUAUCCCGUCGCGGUGCUCUUUACUGAGUGUCGAGUCGGGCCGGUACGUUUACUUUGAACAAAUUAGAGUGCUUAAAGCAGGCUAUCCUCGCCUGAAUACUGCGUGCAUGGAAUAAUGGAAUAGGACCUCGGUUCUAUUUUGUUGGUUUUCGGAACCCCGAGGUAAUGAUUAAUAGGGACAGAUGGGGGCAUUCGUAUUGCGACGUUAGAGGUGAAAUUCUUGGAUCGUCGCAAGACGGACAGAAGCGAAAGCAUUUGCCAAAAAUGUUUUCAUUAAUCAAGAACGAAAGUUAGAGGUCCGAAGGCGAUCAGAUACCGCCCUAGUUCUAACCAUAAACGAUGCCAGCUAGCGAUCCGCCGAAGUUCCUCCGAUGACUCGGCGGGCAGCUUCCGGGAAACCAAAGCUUUUGGGUUCCGGGGGAAGUAUGGUUGCAAAGCUGAAACUUAAAGGAAUUGACGGAAGGGCACCACCAGGAGUGGAGCCUGCGGCUUAAUUUGACUCAACACGGGAAACCUCACCAGGCCCAGACACCGGAAGGAUUGACAGAUUGAUAGCUCUUUCUUGAUUCGGUGGGUGGUGGUGCAUGGCCGUUCUUAGUUGGUGGAGCGAUUUGUCUGGUUAAUUCCGAUAACGAACGAGACUCUAGCCUGCUAAAUAGGCGUACCUUAUGGUAUCGCGAAGGCCCCCGGCUUCGGCCGGUGGGUUUUUACUACCAACGUACAAACAAAUCUUCUUAGAGGGACAGGCGG
rnacentral:rRNA from 1 species